rnacentral:lncRNA from 1 species
CAUUUUAUUUUCUUCAAUCUGACCACUAAUAUUACAGAAAAAUACUAUUCUGCAAUCAAUAAUUAACAUCAGAUGAGUCCAAACUUCUCAACAGCCUUGUUAUGGCAGCAGAUUCAAACUGUUCCAAUGUCGACUGUAUUUGGCUGCCAAGGAGUUGUUAGUUGGUGUCCUGAAGACAACCUCAUUGGACUCUGUACCAGCCCACAUGGAUUGUAACCUUCUUGUUGAUUUGCUGGUGAUAGCUGAUUUUGAGAAGCAGAUGAUCCCCUAUCUAUCACCU